rnacentral:rRNA from 1 species
AUCAUUACCGAGUUGGGGUCUCUGCAAUGAGGCUCAACCUCCUCAAACCCCUUGUCUACCUGACCUCAUUCUGUUGCUUCGGCGGGCCCGUCGGUAAAACGACCGCCGGGAGGCCCUUAAACCAGGCUUUCUGGUCCGCGCCCGUCGACGGCCUUCUAUAUGAAACUCUUGUCAAACAAUCGUGUCUGAAUACAUUAUUGCAAAAUAACCAAAAACUUUCAACAACGGAUCUCUUGGUUCUGGCAUCGAUGAAGAACGCAGCGAAAUGCGAUAAGUAAUGCGAAUUGCAGAAUCCGUGAGUCAUCGAAUCUUUGAACGCAUAUUGCGCCCCUUGGCAUUCCGAAGGGCAUGCCUGUUCGAGCGUCAUUAUCACCCCUCAAGCACACGCUUGGUGUUGGACUCGGUCAUCCCCUUGGGGGGUCGACCGGUCUCAAAGACAGUGACGCCGUCCCAGAAGGAACCGGUACGAGGAGCUUCUAACCGAGCAUGUACACGGUGUGAUUUUGAGGGCGACGGUCUUCCACCCAAAACUUUUAUGUUUUUUCAAGUGUUGACCUCGGAUCAGGUAGGAAUACCCGCUGAACUUAAGCAUAUCAAUAAGCGGAGGAAAAGAAACCAACAGGGAUUGCCUCAGUAACGGCGAGUGAAGCGGCAACAGCUCAAAUUUGAAAUCUGACUUUACGAGUCCGAGUUGUAAUUUGUAGAGGAUGUUUCGGGUACCGCACCGGCUUAAUUUUCUUGGAACAGAAUGUCACAGAGGGUGAGAGUCCCGUCUGGAGCCGCGGUAGGGCCUAUGUGAAACUCCUUCGACGAGUCGAGUUGUUUGGGAAUGCAGCUCAAAAUGGGUGGUAAAUUUCACCUAAAGCUAAAUAUUGGCCAGAGACCGAUAGCGCACAAGUAGAGUGAUCGAAAGAUGAAAAGCACUUUGAAAAGAGAGUUAAACAGUAUGUGAAAUUGUUGAAAGGGAAGCGCUGGCAACCAGACUUGCGGGCGGUGGUUCCCCCUGGCUUUUGCCUGGGCUACUCCAUCGUCUCCAGGCCAACAUCGGUUUAGGCGGUCGGUUAAAGGCCUUGGGAAUGUAUCUUCCCCCGGGAAGACUUAUAGCCCAGGGUGUCAUGCGACCUGUCCGGACCGAGGAAACGCG